rnacentral:lncRNA from 1 species
GUGGUGGACUGGAGUAACUUGGUGGUGGAGCAUAACGUGUUGGUGGUGGUGAAUACUCAGGUGGAGGUGGUGGACUGGAGUAAUUUGAUGGCGGAGUUGGUGGCUCAUAGCUCGGUGACGGGGGUGGUGGAUACUCAGGUGGCGGCGGUGGACUGGAGUAACCUGGUGGCGGGGUUGGUGGCCCAUAGCUUGGUGACGCCGGUGGUGGAUACUCAGGUGGUGGCGGUGGACUGGAGUAACCUGGUGACGGUGGUGGCGGUGGACUAGAGUAACUUGGUGGCGGAGUUGGUGGCUCAUAGCUUGGUGACGCCGGUGGUGGAUACUCAGGUGGUGGCGGUGGACUGGAGUAACCUGGUGACGGUGGAGGCGGUGGACUAGAGUAACUUGGUGGCGGAGUUGGUGGCUCAUAGCUUGGUGAUGGCGGUGGUGGAUACUCAGCUGGUGGCUGUGGACUGGAGUAACCUGGUGACGGUGGUGGCGGUGGACUAGAGUAACUUGGUGGCGGAGUUGGUGGCUCAUAGCUUGGUGACGCCGGUGGUGGAUACUCAGGUGGUGGCGGUGGACUGGAGUAACCUGGUGACGGUGGUGGCGGUGGACUAGAGUAACUUGGUGGCAGAGUUGGUGGCUCAUAGCUGAGUGAUGGUGGUGGUGGAUACUCAAGUGGCGGCGGUGGACUGGAGUAACCUGGUGACAGUGGUGGCGGUGGAGAGUAACUUGGUGGCGGAGUGGGUGGCUCAUAGCUUGGUGACGGCGGUGGUGGUGGAUACUCAAGUGGUGGCGGUGGACUAGAGUAACUUGGUGGCGAAGUUGGUGGUUCAUAGCUUAGUGGCGGUGGUGGUGAAUACCCAGGUGGUGGCGGUGGACUGGAGUAACUUGGUGGCGGAGUUAGUGAUAACGUUGGUGGUGGCGGUGGACUGGAGAAACUUGGUGGUGGAGUUAGCGAUAAUGCUGGUGGUGGCGGUGGACUGGAGUAACCUGGUGGCGGAAUUGGUGAGCUUGGUGACGGUGGUGGAUACUCAGGUGGUGGCGGUGGACUGGAGUAACUUGGUGGAGGAGUUGGUGGCUCAUAGCUUACUGACGGU